UGUCCUUUAGGUUAUUAUUUAAGGUCUAGCCUGCCCACUGAUUGUUGAUUAAAUGGCCGCAGUAUUUUAACUGUGCAAAGGUAGCAUAAUCAUUAGUCUUUUAAUUGAAGGCUUGUAUGAAUGGUUGGACGAAGUAUAGACUGUAUCUUGAAAAUUUAUAUUAGAAUUUUAUUUUUUAGUCAAAAAGCUAAAAUUUUAUUUAAAGACGAGAAGACCCUAUAGAUUUUUAUAUUUUUAUAUUAUAAGGAUAUUUGGAUUAUUUUUUCUUUAUUUUUUAAUUUAUUUUGUUGGGGUGACGUUAAAAUUUAUUAAACUUUUAUUUUUUAAAAACAUUUAUUUAUGAUUAGUUGAUCCGUUUUUAGCGAUUAUAAGUUUAAAUUACCUUAGGGAUAACAGCGUAAUUCUUUUGGAGAGUUCUUAUCGAUAAAAGAGAUUGCGACCUCGAUGUUGGAUUAAAAUAAAUAUUGGGUGCAGAAGCUCAAUUAAUUAAGUCUGUUCGACUUUUUAUUUUUUACAUG
rnacentral:rRNA from 1 species